rnacentral:rRNA from 1 species
UACGGGGGGGGCAAGCGUUGUUCGGAAUUACUGGGCGUAAAGGGCUCGUAGGUGGCCGACUAAGUCGGACGUGAAAUCCCUCAGCUUAACUGGGGAACUGCGUCCGAUACUGGAUGGCUUGAGUUUGGGAGAGGGAUGCGGAAUUCCAGGUGUAGCGGUGAAAUGCGUAGAUAUCGGGAGGAACACCAGUGGCGAAGGCGACUUCUUGGCCUGUUCUUGACGCUGAGGCGCGAAAGCUGGGGGAGCAAACGGG